rnacentral:rRNA from 1 species
GUGCUUUUCUGUCGUAACGUCAAAACANCAAAGUAUUAAUGUACUGCCCUUCCUCCCAACUUAAAGUGCUUUACAAUCCGAAGACCUUCUUCACACACGCGGCAUGGCUGGAUCAGGCUUUCGCCCAUUGUCCAAUAUUCCCCACUGCUGCCUCCCGUAGGA